CGCUACGUAGAGCAAUUGGUUAGCUCGUCAGGCUCAACACCUUAAGGUUACAGGUGCAAAUCCUGUCUCCGCAA
rnacentral:tRNA from 1 species